UGGCGAACGGGUGAGUAACACGUGGGUAACCUGCCCAUCAGAAGGGGAUAACACUUGGAAACAGGUGCUAAUACCGUAUAACACUAUUUUCCGCAUGGAAGAAAGUUGAAAGGCGCUUUUGCGUCACUGAUGGAUGGACCCGCGGUGCAUUAGCUAGUUGGUGAGGUAACGGCUCACCAAGGCAACGAUGCAUAGCCGACCUGAGAGGGUGAUCGGCCACACUGGGACUGAGACACGGCCCAGACUCCUACGGGAGGCAGCAGUAGGGAAUCUUCGGCAAUGGACGAAAGUCUGACCGAGCAACGCCGCGUGAGUGAAGAAGGUUUUCGGAUCGUAAAAACUCUGUUGUUA
rnacentral:rRNA from 1 species